rnacentral:tRNA from 1 species
GCGCCGUCAGUGAUCUUGGCGGAUCGCCCGUGACAGCGGCGCUUGCCUGCGGAGCAAGAGGCAGCAGGUUCAAUUCCUGCCAGGCGCACCA